UUGCCCACAAAAUGGCUGUCAAGAGAUCCUUCAUUUGGCAAAUGGUUUUGGUUCUAAUAGCCAUUCUGGCUCAUCGUGUUGCACCAAGGCAUUUGGGUUCUGCUCCUCUCACUGCUUACAAGGAUGUUGUGGGAAUCAAGAACAUAAGAAAGGUUGGUCGACCCAUCCCAAGGAAAGAUAAGCCCAGGGGUGGCAAUUUCUAAGCACAUUGGAGGAUGUCAAAUCUUCUUUAUCUUUUAAUAACUUUGUAAUCAAUCUCCUUUUACCUAUAACUUGUUUCAAUUUCCAUCUCCUUUAUCCACAUGAAGUGAUCUUAAUUUCUUCAAUAUUUUCUCAAAGCCUAAGGGCAUGCUAUGUUCGUAUGAAACUAAAUGUUACGGGCUUAAAUGUUGAACAUAGAAUUGAUCUUUUCGA